UAGCUCAGUUGGUAGAGCAUGGUGUUUGCAACGCCAUGCUUGUGGGUUCAAUUCCCAC
rnacentral:tRNA from 1 species